UAAGCGACUAAGCGUACACGGUGGAUGCCCUGGCAGUCAGAGGCGAUGAAGGACGUGCUAAUCUGCGAUAAGCGUCGGUAAGGUGAUAUGAACCGUUAUAACCGGCGAUUUCCGAAUGGGGAAACCCAGUGUGUUUCGACACACUAUCAUUAACUGAAUCCAUAGGUUAAUGAGGCGAACCGGGGGAACUGAAACAUCUAAGUACCCCGAGGAAAAGAAAUCAACCGAGAUUCCCCCAGUAGCGGCGAGCGAACGGGGAGCAGCCCAGAGCCUGAAUCAGUGUGUGUGUUAGUGGAAGCGUCUGGAAAGGCGCGCGAUACAGGGUGACAGCCCCGUACACAAAAAUGCACAUGCUGUGAGCUCGAUGAGUAGGGCGGGACACGUGGUAUCCUGUCUGAAUAUGGGGGGACCAUCCUCCAAGGCUAAAUACUCCUGACUGACCGAUAGUGAACCAGUACCGUGAGGGAAAGGCGAAAAGAACCCCGGCGAGGGGAGUGAAAAAGAACCUGAAACCGUGUACGUACAAGCAGUGGGAGCACGCUUAGGCGUGUGACUGCGUACCUUUUGUAUAAUGGGUCAGCGACUUAUAUUCUGUAGCAAGGUUAACCGAAUAGGGGAGCCGAAGGGAAACCGAGUCUUAACUGGGCGUUAAGUUGCAGGGUAUAGACCCGAAACCCGGUGAUCUAGCCAUGGGCAGGUUGAAGGUUGGGUAACACUAACUGGAGGACCGAACCGACUAAUGUUGAAAAAUUAGCGGAUGACUUGUGGCUGGGGGUGAAAGGCCAAUCAAACCGGGAGAUAGCUGGUUCUCCCCGAAAGCUAUUUAGGUAGCGCCUCGUGAAUUCAUCUCCGGGGGUAGAGCACUGUUUCGGCAAGGGGGUCAUCCCGACUUACCAACCCGAUGCAAACUGCGAAUACCGGAGAAUGUUAUCACGGGAGACACACGGCGGGUGCUAACGUCCGUCGUGAAGAGGGAAACAACCCAGACCGCCAGCUAAGGUCCCAAAGUCAUGGUUAAGUGGGAAACGAUGUGGGAAGGCCCAGACAGCCAGGAUGUUGGCUUAGAAGCAGCCAUCAUUUAAAGAAAGCGUAAUAGCUCACUGGUCGAGUCGGCCUGCGCGGAAGAUGUAACGGGGCUAAACCAUGCACCGAAGCUGCGGCAGCGACGCUUAUGCGUUGUUGGGUAGGGGAGCGUUCUGUAAGCCUGCGAAGGUGUGCUGUGAGGCAUGCUGGAGGUAUCAGAAGUGCGAAUGCUGACAUAAGUAACGAUAAAGCGGGUGAAAAGCCCGCUCGCCGGAAGACCAAGGGUUCCUGUCCAACGUUAAUCGGGGCAGGGUGAGUCGACCCCUAAGGCGAGGCCGAAAGGCGUAGUCGAUGGGAAACAGGUUAAUAUUCCUGUACUUGGUGUUACUGCGAAGGGGGGACGGAGAAGGCUAUGUUGGCCGGGCGACGGUUGUCCCGGUUUAAGCGUGUAGGCUGGUUUUCCAGGCAAAUCCGGAAAAUCAAGGCUGAGGCGUGAUGACGAGGCACUACGGUGCUGAAGCAACAAAUGCCCUGCUUCCAGGAAAAGCCUCUAAGCAUCAGGUAACAUCAAAUCGUACCCCAAACCGACACAGGUGGUCAGGUAGAGAAUACCAAGGCGCUUGAGAGAACUCGGGUGAAGGAACUAGGCAAAAUGGUGCCGUAACUUCGGGAGAAGGCACGCUGAUAUGUAGGUGAAGUCCCUUGCGGAUGGAGCUGAAAUCAGUCGAAGAUACCAGCUGGCUGCAACUGUUUAUUAAAAACACAGCACUGUGCAAACACGAAAGUGGACGUAUACGGUGUGACGCCUGCCCGGUGCCGGAAGGUUAAUUGAUGGGGUUAGCGGUAACGCGAAGCUCUUGAUCGAAGCCCCGGUAAACGGCGGCCGUAACUAUAACGGUCCUAAGGUAGCGAAAUUCCUUGUCGGGUAAGUUCCGACCUGCACGAAUGGCGUAAUGAUGGCCAGGCUGUCUCCACCCGAGACUCAGUGAAAUUGAACUCGCUGUGAAGAUGCAGUGUACCCGCGGCAAGACGGAAAGACCCCGUGAACCUUUACUAUAGCUUGACACUGAACAUUGAGCCUUGAUGUGUAGGAUAGGUGGGAGGCUUUGAAGUGUGGACGCCAGUCUGCAUGGAGCCGACCUUGAAAUACCACCCUUUAAUGUUUGAUGUUCUAACGUGGACCCGUAAUCCGGGUUGCGGACAGUGUCUGGUGGGUAGUUUGACUGGGGCGGUCUCCUCCUAAAGAGUAACGGAGGAGCACGAAGGUUGGCUAAUCCUGGUCGGACAUCAGGAGGUUAGUGCAAUGGCAUAAGCCAGCUUGACUGCGAGCGUGACGGCGCGAGCAGGUGCGAAAGCAGGUCAUAGUGAUCCGGUGGUUCUGAAUGGAAGGGCCAUCGCUCAACGGAUAAAAGGUACUCCGGGGAUAACAGGCUGAUACCGCCCAAGAGUUCAUAUCGACGGCGGUGUUUGGCACCUCGAUGUCGGCUCAUCACAUCCUGGGGCUGAAGUAGGUCCCAAGGGUAUGGCUGUUCGCCAUUUAAAGUGGUACGCGAGCUGGGUUUAGAACGUCGUGAGACAGUUCGGUCCCUAUCUGCCGUGGGCGCUGGAGAACUGAGGGGGGCUGCUCCUAGUACGAGAGGACCGGAGUGGACGCAUCACUGGUGUUCGGGUUGUCAUGCCAAUGGCACUGCCCGGUAGCUAAAUGCGGAAGAGAUAAGUGCUGAAAGCAUCUAAGCACGAAACUUGCCCCGAGAUGAGUUCUCCCUGACUCCUUGAGAGUCCUGAAGGAACGUUGAAGACGACGACGUUGAUAGGCCGGGUGUGUAAGCGCAGCGAUGCGUUGAGCUAACCGGUACUAAUGAACCGUGAGGCUUAACCU
rnacentral:rRNA from 1 species